AUUGUUGUUAAGUGUGUUGGUAUUGCAGCAUAGAUACUUGUUAUUGUUGUAAAGUGUGUCGGUAUUUCAGCAUAAAUACUUGUUAUUGUUGUUAAGUAUGUUGGUAUUGCAGCAUAGAUACUUGUCGUUGUUAAGUGUGUUGGUAUUGCAGCAUAGAUACUUGUUGUUGUUGUUAAGUGUGUUGGUGUCCUUGACCUCUGUGUACAUAACGCCUCAGUAAAGUGUGACAGGAUGAAAUCUCAGAAGGUCCGUAGGAGACCCGAGUCCUGCCACGCAUACCACCCUCAGGAAAACGCCAAGGAGUGUGGAGGUGCAUCACAGAUCUACCCGUCUGUCUCUCUCUUCCUCACCUGUCUCACUGCCUCCUUCGCCUGUCUCAAGGCCUCCACGCUGGUCUUCCGAUGACAGACAGACAGCUACCUAGCCUAAACCCUGACCCCCUCUGAAUCGGAAUCUCCCUGGAGGAUUCCAGAAUGCCUGAACAUAGCAUGCCUGCUACUGCUUGCGUUAUCUUUAUCAAUCAAUAUGACUUAAGUUAUGAUAUUGAUCAUUUGGGUUGUUGGACUGAAAGGAAUAUGGCAGCUGAACAGAGAGCUGUUGAUUGACUCCAUGCUUGAUGACUUUACAAUCACAGAGAGCUGAUGACUCCAGAUGCUUGAUGACUUUCAAUCACAACCGCCAAAGUUGUGCUUAUUUGGACAACAAUUCUAAAACCAUGAAAGGGCUUUUAGAUUUUUUAUUCUUCUUCAGUGUCUUAUAAGAGAACAUUAUAGUGUUUCUAUGCAAAAGGAAACAUGCUUUCUUUGACCGUGGAAAGAUCCAGUAUCUCCUAUACGUAUUCCAAAGGACUUGACUUUGCAAUAGGACCAUGGAAGACUAUCA